AGAGUGAACGCUGGCGGUAGGCCUAACACAUGCAAGUCGAACGGCAGCACAGGAGAGCUUGCUCUCUGGGUGGCGAGUGGCGGACGGGUGAGGAAUACAUCGGAAUCUACUCUGUCGUGGGGGAUAACGUAGGGAAACUUACGCUAAUACCGCAUACGACCUACGGGUGAAAGCAGGGGAUCUUCGGACCUUGCGCGAUUGAAUGAGCCGAUGUCGGAUUAGCUAGUUGGCGGGGUAAAGGCCCACCAAGGCGACGAUCCGUAGCUGGUCUGAGAGGAUGAUCAGCCACACUGGAACUGAGACACGGUCCAGACUCCUACGGGAGGCAGCAGUGGGGAAUAUUGGACAAUGGGCGCAAGCCUGGAUCCAGCCAUACCGCGUGGGUGAAGAAGGCCUUCGGGUUGUAAAGCCCUUUUGUUGGGAAAGAAAUCCAGCUGGUUAAUACCCGGUUGGGAUGACGGUACCCAAAGAAUAAGCACCGGCUAACUUCGUGCCAGCAGCCGCGGUAAUACGAAGGGUGCAAGCGUUACUCGGAAUUACUGGGCGUAAAGCGUGCGUAGGUGGUUAUUUAAGUCCGUUGUGAAAGCCCUGGGCUCAACCUGGGAACUGCAGUGGAUACUGGAUGACUAGAAUGUGGUAGAGGGUAGCGGAAUUCCUGGUGUAGCAGUGAAAUGCGUAGAGAUCAGGAGGAACAUCCAUGGCGAAGGCAGCUACCUGGACCAACAUUGACACUAAGGCACGAAAGCGUGG
rnacentral:rRNA from 1 species